CUGCGGAACAGGAGCCAUUUAAGCUCCUUUAAAAGCACACCUGGAGGGUAGCAUUGUAAAGCCUCAAAGUGAAACAGCCUUUCCCAUGGUUACUUUCAAUUCAGCAGAACAAUCCAGCAAUCCUACAGACAGACACACCGUGUCUCGCCUUCAAGAGAGCAGUUUUAUGGAUUAAACAUGGAGCAAACUUUUCUUCAGAAAGGCCUCCUUAUUUCAUAUGUCCUCAUCCUGAGAAGCGUGGUCUAAAACCCUCACAAUCACCGCCCCCUCUUUCCCAAUGGAGAGCUUCUGAGAAGGAUGUCUGAAGAAGGGAUUUCAUAAGCUGGAAUGGAAGGAUGGAAUUGGCUCCUCUCUAAAAUUCAGGUGCUUGGCUGUUUUGCUUUUGAAUCUGGCCAGAACCUAUUCAGAGACGUACACAUGAAUCAGUGGCGCUCACAAAGAAGAAUGAUUGAUCAAAACUCUGGAGUAAUGAGCAUUGAAGUUACCGUGACAUUUGUAAAAUGGAAUUUCCAUGGGGUGUAAAAAUGCACUCAUUUGUUGGGUUCACAGUAGCAAAUGGCACAAUCAGUGAGUUCAGUCCCUUUCCAUGCAUUCCAGCUCAUUUAAAUGCAUUAUUUAUCACACGCUGUCGUACCGAAGACAGGCGUUUCUUAACCUUGCCUGCCUUCAUUAGUUCCUUGUUGUAUCUUUGUAAAAAUGUGCAAAGAGAAAUAUUAACAUUAAUAAAUAAGUGAAAACAAACAACAGAAAAUACAACAGCUCUACUGUCACGCAAUAUACGGUAUUUAUCACAAUCUUAGAUUGGAUGUUUUGACUAUUCUUAGGUUGCAAACUGUUCAAUCUAGGGGUUUAAUCAAUCAAUCAAUCAAUCGCUUAGUUGAUCAGUAAAGCAAUCAAUCAAAUGAGCAAAAAAAAAAUGUUGAUACCGUCAUUGUCCUACUCACCCAGGCCAUACCCUCACCUGAGUUAAGUAAUGACAAGCCAAGCUAACACAACUGUAUGCAGUAUUACAGUGAAGAGAAAUAAAACUAUAUUCAGAUA